rnacentral:tRNA from 1 species
GUUACUGAUAAAGCAGGCAAAACCUAAAUUACAAUGAGUGCGGAUCAUCUCUGUCUGUGCUGAUGGUAAUUUAGGU